CUGCCAGCCGCCGCGGUAAUACGGAGGGUGCAAGCGUUAUCCGGGUUCAUUGGGUUUAAAGGGUGCGCAGGCGGAUACUUAAGUCAGUGGUGAAAUCCCGGGGCUCAACCCCGGAACUGCCAUUGAUACUGAAUAUCUGGAAUACGGUUGAAGUGGGCGGAAUGUAGCGUGUAGCGGUGAAAUGCAUAGAGAUGCUACAGAACACCGAUCGCGAAGGCAGCUCACUAAGCCGAUAUUGACCCUCAGGCACGAAAGCGUGGGGAGCGAACAGGAUUAGAUACCCCGGUAGUCCACGCCGUAAACGAUGAUAACUCGUUGUUGGCGACACACAGUCAGCGACUAAGCGAAAGCGAUAAGUUAUCCACCUGGGGAGUACGACCGCAAGGUUGAAACUCAAAUGAAUUGACGG
rnacentral:rRNA from 1 species